CAGCAGCCGCGGGAAUACGAAGGGGGCUAGCGUUGCUCGGAAUGACUGGGCGUAAAGGGCGCGUAGGCGGAUGGCACAGUCAGAUGUGAAAUUCCCGGGCUUAACCUGGGGGCUGCAUUUGAUACGUGUUGUCUAGAGUGAGGAAGAGGGUCGUGGAAUUCCCAGUGUAGAGGUGAAAUUCGUAGAUAUUGGGAAGAACACCGGUGGCGAAGGCGGCGACCUGGUCCUUGACUGACGCUGAGGCGCGAAAGCGUGGGGAGCAAACAGGAUUAGAGACCCCAGUAGUCCCUGUCUCUUAUAC
rnacentral:rRNA from 1 species